GGAACGGUAGGGGGGAGGGGUCGGAAUACAUAAUGGGGACUGGAAUGAAAGGCAGGCAGAGAGUAGGGGAACAGAAAGAAGAUACAAAUACGUAUGUAUAUAGGAACGGAUGAGACAGAAAGAGAGAGACAAAGCGAAGAGAGAGAGAGAGAGA